GGCCUUGACAUACUAAGAACUUUCCAGAGAUGGAUUGGUGCCUUCGGGAACUUAGAUACAGGUGCUGCAUGGCUGUCGUCAGCUCGUGUCGUGAGAUGUUGGGUUAAGUCCCGCAACGAGCGCAACCCUUUUCCUUAUUUGCCAGCGGGUCAUGCCGGGAACUUUAAGGAUACUGCCAGUGACAAACUGGAGGAAGGCGGGGACGACGUCAAGUCAUCAUGGCCCUUACGGCCAGGGCUACACACGUGCUACAAUGGUCGGUACAAAGGGUUGCUACCUCGCGAGAGGAUGCUAAUCUCAAAAAGCCGAUCGUAGUCCGGAUCGCAGUCUGCAACUCGACUGCGUGAAGUCGGAAUCGCUAGUAAUCGCGGAUCAGAAUGCCGCGGUGAAUACGUUCCCGGGCCUUGUACACACCGCCCGUCACACCAUGGGAGUUUGUUGCACCAGAAGUAGGUAGUCUAACCGCAAGGAGGACGCUUACCACGGUGUGGCCGAUGACUGGGGUGAAGUCGUAACAAGGUAGGCGUAGAUGA
rnacentral:rRNA from 1 species